rnacentral:rRNA from 1 species
ACAAGGUUUGCGGAGGUCGGUCUCAGUGUGACCGUUAACAAAAAGAUGGGGCAAAGGGUCGUAGUGCAGGGUUUGCACACGGAGCUUUAGCUUGAAGAGUUCAUGGAGGAACUCUUCCAGCACAAUAUUAGGAAGCGUUGUCCUGAGGCUAAGAACGCCGGCAUCAGGAUUGUAAGCAAGCCCUGGGUGGUUAAGGGUGAUGGUAGGACGAACGUCGUCCUGGAAGGAGAUGUCAAAGUCAUGUCAACACUUUUGGAGGCAGGAAGGGUCUACAUUAUGUGGUUCUCAUUCCAAGUGCACGCGGAUAGUCCAGUUGCCGGUUAUUUCUGGUGUAUGGGCUUCGACUACCGGGUUGCGGAUUGUCGGGCCAAAUCCGAUGUCUGCCGGAGGUGUGGCAAAGAGGGACACAAAGCUGUCCGUUGCAACAAGGCCCCGCAUUGUCCCAACUGUCACUUCAAGGGUAAGCCGGCUGGACAUCUUAUAAUGACCGCUGUCUUCCCAGUAUACUGCGGCAUCGUGGAGCGCGCACUUGCUACUGUCACUUCAAAGGUAAGCCGGCUGGACAUCUUAUAACGACCGCUGUCUGCCCAGUAUACUGCGGCAUCGUGGAGCGCGCACUUGCUAGACAUCAAUGGGCGCGCUGUUUCAGCUCCAUUGCCAGGGGUCAUAUGCCGCUAUGUGCGAAUUGGGGGGUUUUAUGAUUAAGGGUGGGUGCGGUGUUGCCCUACUCCAGGAGCUCUACGCUCCUGGUGUGGUUAGGGGUCUCCAUGGCAGUUUUAUAAUCUUUACAGAUCUUAGGGCUAACGCCUCAAGAGUUGUGAACAAUCCGAACUAUGCUUGUGUAGUUUUGGACUCUUCACAGCUGGAAGUUUGCGUUUCAGUAGAAGGGGAGUUCGGUCGACUGGUCGUCGCUAGUUUGUACUGCAAAUUCAGCGAACCCCUAGAGCCUUACCUGUGGUACAUGGAUAGGCUACUAUUACUUGCGAGUAGUAGCCCAAUUAUCCUUGGACUAGACGCGAAUGCCUCAUCCUCGAUGUGAUUUAGUAAGGUAUCCCGGCAUCCUGCUGUCCGUACCAUAUAUCCUGGCUUGUUUGUGGUCUGUGCCACUUACGGAGCUGCUGUAUGGUGGGAAACAGCCACGACAGUCUUGGGGCGUCAAAAGCUUCUCUCAAUACAGCGUUUUAUUAUGCUUGCUUGCUUGCCUGUAUGUCGCACCGUUUCAUCGGAUGCAGUGCAGGUGCUAUUAGGAGCUCCCCCGCAUGUCCUGAUUCAUACUCACGGGACAUGGGCCUCUGAAUGCAUUCUUGCAUAAGAGGAAUCUAUCGGAAACACCCGAAUGUGCGUGUGGAUCACGCAAUGAGGAUUGGGUACAUGUCAUUGCAGAACGCGCAAUGUACUCAGACAUCAGGAGCUUUAGAGAAAUAGGGAUUCGUUAUAUAAAUGGACGGCUAGAUGUGAGCGGUGUGUUCUCCACUAGCUGGAGUGCCGAACUGUUAGGGACGUUUGAUAGGUUUGCGCGUGAAAUAUUUAGGCGGCGAAAACAAUUGACUGAAACGUUAGGUUAGGUUAGGUUAGGUAAGGGGGAUGUGGGUGCUUGGGAAGGGAGUAUGGGCUCUAACCCCUGGUCCACGGGCAGCAGGUACUACGGAGAGCAGGAGUCCUUGGGGUUCGCUCCAAUCUGCUCAUGCGGUAUGGCCCUUUGGGGAGUAUCGUGGUGGUUGUGGUUUAUACCCAAAUGCGGGCAGAGUGUUUUGAUCACUCAAUGUGGAGUUGCAUUGCAACCGGGUGCCAGAUCCAAAGUACGGCAGACGUUUUAAAUGGGCUUCGAACCCUACCAAGGUGGUUAGUGUGACCAUUCCACACUGCCAAUUGGUCCUGAAAAUGCUUGGUAUUUUCAAGGCGCUGAUUAACGCAUUGAUUUGAUCCAUUGUACUUUUGAGUACCGUGGCGUAAGGUUGUCGUCAGCAGGAACCUACGUUAAACACACCGGACGUUGUCCCUAUUUAUUGUGCUUCUAGCAAUAGGAGCACUGUGGAGUUAGGCUGUCGACAGUAGGAAUUCACGUAAAACCACAACGGAAUCUGUCCUUAUCUACUAUCUAGCGAAACCACAGCCAAAGGAACGGGCUUGGAAUAAUUAGCGGGGAAAGAAGAUCCCGAUUCUUGAUCAAAGUACUAUGAGCUUGUUAUAUACAUAAUUGUAAACUUAUUUUAAUGAAAUGAUAGCAUUCGGUGCAAUUAUUAUAAUUAAAAUUUGGUAUAACUCCUACACUAAGGUUUCAUCCAAUUCUAGGACAUUGCCAGGUGGGGAGUUUGACUGGGCCGGAACAUCUCUCAAAUAAUUACGGAGGUAUCCCAAGUUCAGCUCAGUGCUUACAGAAACUACAUAAAGAGCAAAAGGGCAAAUGCUAACUUGAUCCCGGUGUUCAGUACACACAGAGACAGCAAAAGCUCGGCCUAUCGAUCCUUUUGGUUUAAAGAGUUUUUACAAGAGGUGUCAGAAAAGUUACCACAGGGAUAACUGGCUUGUGGCGGCCAAGCGUUCAUAGCGACGUCGCAUUUUGAUCCUUCAAUGUCGGCUCUUCCUAUCAUUCUGAAGCAAAAUUCACCAAGUUUUGGAUCGUUCACCCAUUUAAGGGAACGUGAGCAGGGUUUAGACCGUCGUGAGGCAGGAUUGUUUUUACCUACUAAUGACAAUUGUUAUUGCGACAGCAUUCCUGCGUAGUCCGAGAGGAACCGCAGGUACGGACCAAUGGUACAAUACUUGUUCGAGCGAACAGUGGUAUGAUGCUACGCCCGUUGGAUUAUGCCUGAACGUAUCGGUGCUGAACUGCAAUGAUAAAUAUGGUGCAUGCAUUGUAUGGCUUCUCUAAACCAUUUAAAGUUUAAAAAUUUAUUUAUAAACGACAAUGGAUAUACAUAUGUGAUGGCAAUGUUAUUUGUAACAUAGCAUAUGCGGGAGGAUUAAAUAUCACCUGUAUAACGUCCUAGUUACUUAU